UCUGUCUCCCAUCACAAUAUC
rnacentral:piRNA from 1 species